rnacentral:ncRNA from 1 species
CUGAAAUGCCUAGAUGGAUGCAAGCAUCCCAUAAACAUCAAAAGGUUUGGUCCUGGCCUUAUAAUUAGUUGGAGGCAGAAUUACACAUGCAAAUUUCCAUAAACCAGUGUCAAAUCCCAUAGAGUUUCUUCUAACUCUUAGGAGAGGGUAUCAAGUACAUUCAAUAGCUAAAGACACCUUGCCCAGCCACGCCCCCACGGGACCCAGCAGUGAUAAAAAUUAAGCAAUGAACGAAAGUUUGACUAAGCCAUGCCUCUUUAAGGGUUGGUAAAUUUCGUGCCAGCCACCGCGGUCAUACGAUUAACCCAAACUAAUUAUUCUCGGCGUAAAACGUGUUACUAGAAACAUACAAAAUAGAAUUAAAAUCCAUCCAAUAUGUGAAAAUUCAUCGCUGGACCUAAAACCAAUGACGAAAGUAAUUCUAAUAAACCUGAUACACGAUAGCUAAGAUCCAAACUGGGAUUAGAUACCCCACUAUGCUUAGCCCUAAACUUAAAUAAUUAAAAAACAAAAUUAUUUGCCUGAGAACUACUGGCCACAGCUUAAAACUCAAAGGACUUGGCGGUACUUUAUAUCCAUCUAGAGGAGCCUGUUCUAUAAUCGAUAAACCCCGUUAUACCUCACCACCCCUUGCUAAUACAGCCUAUAUACCGCCAUCUUCAGCAAACCCUAAAAAGGAAUAAAAGUAAGCAAGAGAACUACCAUAAAAACGUUAGGUCAAGGUGUAGCCAAUGGGAUGGGAAGCAAUGGGCUACAUUUUCUUAUAAAGAACAUUACGCUACCCUUUAUGAAACUAAAGGACAAAGGAGGAUUUAGUAGUAAAUUAAGAAUAGAGAGCUUAGUUGAAUCGAGCAAUGAAGUACGUACACACCGCCCGUCACCCUCCUCAAACUAAAUAAACGAGAACUAUACAUAAUUACAUCAAAUUUUUACGAGAGGAGAUAAGUCGUAACAAGGUAAGCAUACUGGAAAGUGUGCUUGGAAUAACCACGAUGUAGCUUAAUUAACAAGCAUCUGG